rnacentral:rRNA from 1 species
CGUAGGGGGCAAGCGUUGUCCGGAAUUAUUGGGCGUAAAGGGCGCGUAGGCGGAUAGUUAAGUCCGGUGUGAAAGAUCAGGGCUCAACCCUGAGAGUGCAUCGGAAACUGGUUAUCUUGAGGACAGGAGAGGAAAGUGGAAUUCCACGUGUAGCGGUGAAAUGCGUAGAUAUGUGGAGGAACACCAGUGGCGAAGGCGACUUUCUGGACUGUAACUGACGCUGAGGCGCGAAAGCGUGGGGAGCAAACAGGAUUAGAUACCCUGGUAGUCCACGCUGUAAACGAUGAGUGCUAGGUGUAGAGGGUAUCGACCCCUUCUGUGCCGCAGUUAACACAAUAAGCACUCCGCCUGGGGAGUACGGCCGCAAGGUUG